UACGUAGGGUGCGAGCGUUAAUCGGAAUUACUGGGCGUAAAGCGUGCGCAGGCGGCGCGUUAAGACAGGUGUGAAAGCCCCGAGCUUAACUUGGGAAUUGCGCUUGUGACUGGCGAGCUGGAGUGUGGCAGAGGGAGGUGGAAUUCCACGUGUAGCAGUGAAAUGCGUAGAGAUGUGGAGGAACACCGAUGGCGAAGGCGGCUCACUGGCCCGGUACUGACGCUGAGGUGCGAAAGCGUGGGGAGCAAACAGG
rnacentral:rRNA from 1 species